rnacentral:rRNA from 1 species
CGCCAGACUCCUACGGGAGGCAGCAGUGGGGAAUAUUGCACAAUGGGGGAAACCCUGAUGCAGCAACGCCGCGUGAGUGAAGAAGUCAUUCGUGAUGUAAAGCUCUAUCAGCAGGGAAGAAAAUGACGGUACCCCUUGAAUAAGCCACGGCUAACUACGUGCCAGCAGCCGCGGUAAUACGUAGGUGGCAAGCGUUGUCCGGAUUUACUGGGUGUAAAGGGCGUGCAGCCGGAGAGACAAGUCAGAUGUGAAAUCCACGGGCUCAACCCGUGAACUGCAUUUGAAACUGUUUCCCUUGAGUGUCGGAGAGGUAAUCGGAAUUCCUUGUGUAGCGGUGAAAUGCGUAGAUAUAAGGAAGAACACCAGUGGCGAAGGCGGAUUACUGGACGAUAACUGACGGUGAGGCGCGAAAGCGUGGGGAGCAAACAGGAUUAGAUACCCCGGUAC